GACGGGGCCCGCACAAGCAGUGGAGUAUGUGGUUUAAUUCGAAGCAACGCGAAGAACCUUACCAGGGCUUGACAUCCCUUGAAGCAGCUAGAGAUAGCUGUGUCCUUCGGGACAAGGAGACAGGUGGUGCAUGGUUGUCGUCAGCUCGUGUCGUGAGAUGUUGGGUUAAGUCCCGCAACGAGCGCAACCCCUGUGGUUAGUUGCCAGCAAGUAGCGUUGGGCACUCUAGCCAGACUGCCGGUGAUAAAUCGGAGGAAGGCGGGGACGACGUCAAAUCAUCAUGCCCUUUAUGUCCUGGGCUACACACGUACUACAAUGGGCGGUACAAAGGGUAGCGAUGCCGCGAGGUGAAGCCAAUCCCAAAAAGCCGUCCACAGUUCGGAUUGGAGUCUGCAACUCGACUCCAUGAAGCCGGAAUCGCUAGUAAUCGUGGAUCAGCAUGCCCACGGUCCGAAUACGUUCCGGGCCUU
rnacentral:rRNA from 1 species